rnacentral:rRNA from 1 species
AUUGAACGCUGGCGGAAUGCUUUACACAUGCAAGUCGAACGGCAGCACGGACUUCGGUCUGGUGGCGAGUGGCGAACGGGUGAGUAAUACAUCGGAACGUGCCCAAUCGUGGGGGAUAACGUAGCGAAAGCUACGCUAAUACCGCAUACGAUCUAAGGAUGAAAGCGGGGGAUCGCAAGACCUCGCGCGAUUGGAGCGGCCGAUGGCAGAUUAGGUAGUUGGUAGGGUAAAGGCCUACCAAGCCGACGAUCUGUAGCUGGUCUGAGAGGAUGAUCAGCCACACUGGGACUGAGACACGGCCCAGACUCCUACGGGAGGCAGCAGUGGGGAAUUUUGGACAAUGGACGCAAGUCUGAUCCAGCCAUUCCGCGUGCAGAAUGAAGGCCCUCGGGUUGUAAACUGCUUUUGUACAGAACGAAAGGCUCUGGUUAAUACCUAGGGCUCAUGACGGUACUGUAAGAAUAAGCACCGGCUAACUACGUGCCAGCAGCCGCCGUAA